ACGUGUCUCCGAUGGGUGCGGCGCGCCCCGCUCCGGCCGGUUCGGCCGUGCAGCGGGUGGGCCGUCCCGUCGAUCCCAACCACCAAACCCCACUGUGAACCUUCACGGCGGAGGGGGUUCCGGCCCCCGAUGCCGCACACCGCAAACCCCAGUUCUAAAGAAUGUCGUGCGGACGCUGUGCCGCCUAAUACACGCGUGA
rnacentral:misc_RNA from 2 species